GGACAUAUCAGCACACAAGAUUCAAGAGUCCUUUCACACCAACAGGCAGACAGGCAUUAGGAGGUUAGUGUCCAGCAUUCUUGAGCCUGGUUGUCUUGCGGAAAAACUGUCCCAAAGCAUGAUGAUAAGAGAUUUGAGGCUGCAGCACCACUUGCCAGACAGCAGCAGCUGAAACAGUCCACGGGUGAGGGCUGAAAAUGUUGCCACUCAAUUUUUUCUCUGCCACUUAUGAAAUUUUUACAGAACACUUCAGAAUUGUAAAGACUGAGUAAGCGCCUGACAGUAGAAACACUGGAUAUAUGAUGCAUAAACAAUCACUGACUAUUCUUGAUUUAAGAAUUUUAUAUUAAACUUAAGCUGUGCAAUUAUUUCCUGUACAAUAAUUGUAUAUUUAGUUACACUGCAACAAUACCUCCUGCUGUAUUCAUCCAUCUUUCAAGGCAAUAUUUUAGAUCUGUGUCUGUAGUAUAACACACAGUAAUUAUUUUUUUUAUUUUUAUUUACAGCAUAUCUGCAUGAAAGGUAGCCUACAUAGCUGUUUUUUUUUAUUUUUAUUUUAUGUAUAUAUUUUUUAUCUAUCACUCUUGUAUCUGCACUUGUUGAAUCUUAAGCUGAAGUGGCUAGCAAAGUUUUAUCUUUGCUUCUGAAAAAUAAUAUUUCUUAAUUGUAUAUUUCUGCAUUGGUGGCAGGGGACUUGGAAGUUUUAAAUUUACCCUGUAUUUGAUAGGUGUGAGGUGCUAAUUUCAUUCCUGUCUGAGUUGAUAAGACACUACAGACACCAGCAAAGUAGGUACUGGGAAAAGAGCCCCAGGCCAGCAUCUGUAAUAGACUUUGGGGCUCAUGGGCCCAUGUACUCCGUGAAAGUGGGAUGAAGAUCGCAAGAUGGCCAUUAAUGACUGAAGUCAAAGACUUCUAACAUGUCAGGGUAGUGCAAGCUUGUUUUACUCCAUUCAGGCUGUCUGGCUCUCUGGCUGUCUCUGUUCUAAAUGCCCUCUGUGUACUGGUAUUGUCAUUCUGUAUUUAGGCUAUGUUAGGGGAGUGGGCCUAUGCAUGAUGUGAACUGGCUGCAUUGUACUUUUGCCAAAUCAUUCCUCUGACCAAAACAUGAUGAUCAUAUAGUGGGAUGUUGUACAAUCAUAAACAUUCACUGAUGAGUUAAUCACAGUAAAAUCAGCAGUUUAAUAUUUGCAGUGUUAAAAGUUAUUAAUUCCCAAAGAUUUGAAUUAACAAUCCACAGUGUUAAACAGUACUCGUGUUCAGUGUUGUUAUAUGGUGUUCUGUUCACUUUUACACUAAAAGUGCGAAAUAAAAAACCCGCCGAAUUGUCUGGACUCCGCCCUUCAGUGACUGCUGCCUCGCGAAGCGACAACGUCAUCUUUUCUUCGAGCGACCGAGACGUUGGUCGUCCUCUCGCCUCUGUUCCCUCCUCGGCCUGGGGUUACUGCGAGUCUGGCGCUGAAGACUGAAGCUGCUAACGUUAUAUUCGAAGCCUCAGAAGACCUUCAAGGAUCCAGUUGACCUCUGAAUCAGCUGGUAAGAAAAUGGGACAGUUAUAUUGCUUCAAUUGGUCACCUACUUCAUUUGAUUCCACCGUCAUUACAAGGCUGCAAGGGAUCUGGAAAAAUGUCAUCCUGUCAAGCUGAAAAACAUCUUCAAAAAGGCACUAACAAGAACAGCUUGAUUGUAGAGAAGAGACCACACAGCCAUACACGCUCACUGAUGGGACGAUGAGGAACAUCAUUCAUGGAUGCUACACAACUCAAAUCUACACGUCAUAUUUGUUCAUGUCUAGGUAAAUUUGAUGAUUUUGUGUUUUAUUAACUACUUUGUUUCUGUGCAACACUUAAUGAAUGUGACUGACUAAUUAACCUCUACACAUCUGGUAUAUGCUUUAAAGUUGCCACUUUGCCCAUUUGUUCAAUAAAUGUUGAAAUGUA